rnacentral:rRNA from 1 species
GAUGAACGCUGGCGGCGUGCCUAAUACAUGCAAGUCGAACGAAAAGACGAGGUGCUUGCUACUCGGGCGUUAACGGCGGGAGUGUGAGUAGAAUGUGGAUACCCUACCUUUAAGACUGGGAUAACUUCGGGAAGCCGGUACCAAUACGGGAUAAUAUCUUCAACGGGAUGGUUCGAUAGUGAAAGACGGUUUUGCUGUAACUUAUAGUUGGAUCCGCGCCGCAUUAGUUAGUUGGUAAGAUAACUGCUUACCAAGGCAGCAAUGCGUAGCCGACCUGCGAGCGGGUAGGGGCACACUGGGACUGAGACACGGCCCAGACACCGACGGGAGGCACAAAUAGCGAAGCGACCGAAAAGGGCGGAAGCCUGAAGGAUCAACGCCGCGUGGGUGAUGAAGGGCUGCGGGUGGGAAGACGCUGUUAGUAUGGAAGACCGAUUGUAGAAGGAGCGAUGCACGUCGUGACGGUACCUAAUGAGAAAGCAACGGCUAACUACGUG